UACGGAGGAUGCAAGCGUUAUCCGGAAUGAUUGGGCGUAAAGCGUCCGCAGGCGGCUAUGUAAGUCUGCUGUUAAAGAGUGAGGCUCAACCUCAUAAGAGCAGUGGAAACUACAUAGCUAGAGUGCGUUCGGGGCAGAGGGAAUUCCUGGUGUAGCGGUGAAAUGCGUAGAUAUCAGGAAGAACACCGGUGGCGAAAGCGCUCUGCUAGGCCGCAACUGACACUGAGGGACGAAAGCUAGGGGAGCGAAUGGG
rnacentral:rRNA from 1 species